GCCCGUUUAGCAUAGUCGUUAUUGCGCGGCACUUGUAUGAUCUUAACUUCUUCAUUCAAUGCCGAGGUCGCUAGUUCAAAUCUGGCAACGGGCA